AUUGAUCGCUAGCGGGAUGCCUUACAUAUGCAAGUCGCACGGAGUGGCGCCCGGUUGAGUCAUGUAUCGGAACGUGCCCAGUAGCGGGGGAUAACUACGCGAAAGCGUAGCUAAUCUCGCCUACUAUUAGCACGGCCGAUAUCGGAUGCGCUAGUUGGUGGGGUAACGGGUCACCAAGGCGACGAUCCGUAGCUGGUUUGAGAUGACGACCAGCCACACUGGGAUGGUGACACGGCCCAGACUCCUACGGGAGGAAGCAGUGGGGAAUGUUGGAAGAGGGGGGAAUGCAUGAUACAGCCAGCGCGCGUGUGUGAUGAAGACCUCUGGGUUGUGAAGCACUAGUGUCAGCAGAGCGCUACCUGCAGAAUAAGCACCGGCAAACUACGGACCAGCAGCCGCGGUAAUAC
rnacentral:rRNA from 1 species